rnacentral:rRNA from 1 species
AACGAACGCUGGCGGCAGGCCUAACACAUGCAAGUCGAACGCUCCGCAAGGGGAGUGGCAGACGGGUGAGUAACACGUGGGAAUCUUCCUAUUGGUUCGGAAUAGCUCAGGGAAACUUGGGGUAAUACCGUAUAAGCCCGUGAGGGGAAAGAUUUAUCGCCGAUAGAUGAGCCCGCGUCUGAUUAGCUAGUUGGUGAGGUAACGGCUCACCAAGGCGACGAUCAGUAGCUGGUCUGAGAGGAUGACCAGCCACACUGGGACUGAGACACGGCCCAGACUCCCGCGGGAGGCAGCAGUGGGGAAUAUUGGACAAUAGGCGCAAGCCUGAUCCAGCCAUGCCGCGUGAGUGACGAAGGUCUUCGGAUUGUAAAACUCUUUUGCCAGGGACGAUAAUGACGGUACCUGGAGAAUAAGCCCCGGCUAACUUCUUGCCAGCAGCCGCCGUAAUAC